GACGCUGGCGGCAUGCCUCAAACAUGCAAGUCUAGGGGGUGUAGCAAUACAUCACCGGCGGACGGGUGCGUAACGCGUGGGAAUAUACCUAUUGGUUCGGAACAACACAGGGAAACUUGUGCUAAUACCGAAUGUGCCCUUACGGGGAAAGAUUUAUCGCCAAUGGAUUAGCCCGCGUCCGAUUAGCUAGUUGGUGAGGUAACGGCUCACCAAGGCUCCGAUCGGUAGCUGUUCUGAGAGGAAGAUCAGCCACACUGGGACUGAGACACGGCCCAGACUCCUACGGGAGGCAGCAGUUGGGAAUCUUGGACAAUGGGGGAAACCCUGAUCCAGCCAUGCCGCGUGAGUGAUGAAGGCCUUCGGGUUGUAAAACUCUUUCGACGGGGACGAUAAUGACGGUACCCGUAGAAGAAGCUCCGGCUAACUUCGUG
rnacentral:rRNA from 1 species